rnacentral:snRNA from 1 species
UAUCCCUUCAGGAAAAUCCGAUAAAAUUGGAACGAUAGAUAGAAUAUUAGCAUUAGCAUGGCCCCUGCGCAAGGAUGACACUCACAAAUCGAAAAAUGGUCCAAAAAAAAUUUU